GCCUAAAGCGUCCGUAGCCUGAUCUAUAAGUUUCCGGUUAAAUCCACAUGCUCAACAUUUGGGCUGCCGGAAAAACUGUAGAUCUAGGGAGUGGGAGAGGUAGACGGUACUCGAUAGGAAGGGGUAAAAUCCUUUGAUCUAUUGAUGACCACCAGUGGCGAAGGCGGUCUACCAGAACACGUUCGACGGUGAGGGAUGAAAGCUGGGGGAGCAAACCGGAUUAGAUACCCGGGUAGUCCCAGCUGUAAACUAUGCAAACUCAGUGAUGCAUUGGCUUGAUGCCAAUGCAGUGUUGCAGGGAAGCCGUUAAGUUUGCCGCCUGGGAAGUACGUACGCAAGUAUGAAACUUAAAGGAAUUGGCGGGGGAGCACCACAAGGGGUGAAGCCUGCGGUUCAAUUGGAGUCAACGCCAGAAAUCUUACCCGGAGAGACAGCAGAAUGAAGGUCAAGCUGAAGACUUUACCAGACAAGCUGAGAGGUGGUGCAUGGCCGUCGCCAGCUCGUGCCGUGAGAUGUCCUGUUAAGUCAGGUAACGAGCGAGACCCUUGCCUCUAGUUGCCACCAUUGCUCUCUGGAGCAGUGGGGCGAAUUAGCGGGACCGCCGCAGUUAAUGCGGAGGAAGGAAAGGGCUACGGCAGGUCAGUAUGCCCCGAA
rnacentral:rRNA from 1 species